UACGUAGGUGACGAGCGUUAUCCGGAAUUACUGGGCGUAAAGCGCACGCAAGCGGUCUAACAAGUCUGGCGUGAAAUCCUCUGGCUUAACCAGGGGCGGUCGCUGGAGACUGUUAAACUUGAGGCGAUGAGAGGGGUGCAGAAUUCCCGGUGUAGUGGUGGAAUGCGUAGAUAUCGGGGGGAAUACCAGUGGCGAAAGCGGCACCCUGGCGUCGUACUGACGCACAUGUGCGAAAGCGUGGGGAGCAAACGGG
rnacentral:rRNA from 1 species